AAUAGGCGGAGGAAAAGAAACUAACAAGGCUUCCCCUACUAACGGCGAGCGAACCGGGAAGAGCUCAAAUUUGUAAUCUGGCGCCCCUCGGGCUCAGAGUUGUAAUCUACAGAGGCGUUUUCCGUGCCGGCCCGUGCCCAACUUUGCUUGGAACAGUGAGAUCAAAGAGGGUGAAAAUCCCGUACUUGACACGACCGCCGGUGCUAUGUGAUACGUCUUCUAAGAGUCGAGUUGUUUGGGAAUGCCCCUCAAAACGGGUGGUAAAUUCCAUCUAAGGUUAAAUAUUGGCGAGAGACCGAUAGCGAACAAGUACCGUGAGGGAAAGAUGAAAAGCACUUUGGAAAGAGAGUUAAACAGCACGUGAAAUUGUUGAAAGGGAAACGAUUGAAGUCAGUCGUGUCCGAGGGGUUCAGCCGGUCCUGCCGGUGCAUUCCUCUCGGACGGGUCAACAUCGGUUUUGUCCGGCGGACAAGGGCAUGGGGAAAGUGGCACCUUUGGGUGUGUUAUAGCCCCGUGUCGCAUACGUCGGACGAGACCGAGGAACGCAGCUCGCCUCACGGCCGGGGUUCGCCCACGUACGAGCUUAGGAUGUUGACAUAAUGGCUUUAAACGACCCCUCU
rnacentral:rRNA from 1 species